CUUUGGCUGAUAAGAAAAAGAAAGACGUGUAAAGAUACUCUCCAUGUGUUUAAAGAUGCCAGAACCAACUGAUGCGAUGAUAACCACGCCAUUUUACCAGCAACAGCAGUAUGAAGUAUCCAAGUUCCUGAAGAUCAAGCCGUUGGUUUUGGGGAUUUUGGAAAUAUUGAUAGCCUUAUUGGGACUCGGUUUGACUAUCUGGAAUGAGAGUUUUUUCGUUAUCUGGUCACCAAUCAUUUUCAUCAUAAUUGGAGCUAUAACAGUCUCGGCUGCACACACACGUACACCGCGUCUGGUCAAAACCUCUCAAAUGCUCAGCUAUGCAAAUUUUGCAGUAGUUGUUUUCUCCCUCCGCGCUCACUUUAUUUACAUUCGGGUUACUCCAGAUGUGUCCUUCUAUGUCCUUUUCAUCUGUGAUAUUCUGAUCUUCAUCUUCUCUCUUGCUGUUGCUGUAACCUCCUGUUCCUGUUGCUGCGGACCAAAGUCAACCCCUGUCAUGGUCAGUUAUGUGACCACAGAUAUGCCUGUCAACCACAUCAUGCAGAUGGGCCAGCCGGACCCCUCUGCAGAGGCCCAGCCUAUUAGUUCAGUCAUGUACGUGCUGCCAGCAGCACACGGCUCAGUCCCACCUGCGACUCUGCCAAAUUACGGUCACGUCCCCAAUGCAUCUCCACCAAUGUACAGUCCAGUACCAACUACACCUCCAUCCAACUACGACAAAGUCUCUGAUGCACUUCCACCAAAGUACUGUCCAGUCCCAACUGCUUCUCCACCAGCAUAUGAGCAUGAAGAUUUUCAGACCAGAAGAUGAAUAAUAUCUCAGACAAAAAUUGGAAUGUUUGACAUUUACUAAAUUUUUUGUGUAAUGGUGAAUGGAAAACCAAAAAUUAUACUUAUAAGUUUGUAAAUCGAAUGGAUGAGAAACAUGCAUCAGAGUCUUACGUUUUCAUUAUGUUUAAUUCGUUAUGUUUUCCACCA
rnacentral:lncRNA from 1 species